AUGGACGAGAAGUUAAUUGAACUUGUAAGAAAUCAUGAAGUGCUAUACAAUCACUCAUCAGCCACUCAGCAGAGUACAGGGACCAGACGAUUCGGCAAGAAGCUUGGGAAGAAAUUGGUAGACACUAACAAAUAACAGCGGACAACGCCAAGACAAAAUGGGACAAACUUAGACGAUGUUUGUAUAAUGCAAGAAAUAGACGCCUGUCUACACAAAGUGGCCAGGCUACCAAAAAAAUUACGCCAUGGAAAUUUGCACAGCAAAUGACAUUUUUGCUGCCGUAUUUAGAAGGUCGAAGGACGCGCGGCAAUUUGCCGAAGUCUCAAAAUGAACAUAAAAUUUGCGUUCCCGACGAAAGAGAAAUUAACGACGAUGACGUUGACGCAGACGAACAGCAAAUACAAGAACGCAGUACAGACGCUGAAAAUAUAGCUGAUGAAGGGGACCAAGAACAUAUUGCAGUUAUACAACAACAAACACCUUCGCAAGACGAUAUAUUACUCGCCGAAAAUACUAAAACAUUAUUCAAUUAAAGUAAUUGCAAAAUUACCAAAUUCGGUUCAGGUAAAACCAAACGGGCACCAGUAAAUAAAUAAAUUCAAGAUUCGCUUAUUAAAGUUUUUUGAAACUUUGCACGAGGGUUUGCUAGAUUGGUCUCUUAGCCAAUAAUUGACCCACUUAAAAUUUACAUGGGAUUUCCUAUGUUUCGCUCGGCGACGCACCACCCGGUAUAUAAAAAUAUCUUUUAUAAGCAGUUUUAAUAACAUCUCCAAAAGUGAACAUUUUCAUUUUCGCCCUGUAUUUUAGGAAGAAAAGUAGUUGGAAUAUUUCUGUUUGUGGCUUUGAAAGUUAAAAAAAAGUGAUACAGGAUCGCGAAAACCGCAAAGUUAUAUCUUAAAAAAUGACCCCGAGAGAGAUACCCUGCAAUCUCAUCCAAAAUGGGACACAGUGUACUGCAUUUUAGAUUUUUUACAUUAUUUUUUAUUUUUUUAGGAUACACGUAAUUAGUAGUAAUAGAUUAGGUUUAAUUUACAUUUA